GACGAACGCUGGCGGCGUGCUUAACACAUGCAAGUCGAACGGAAAGGCCCUGCUUUUGUGGGGUGCUCGAGUGGCGAACGGGUGAGUAACACGUGAGUAACCUGCCCUUGACUUUGGGAUAACUUCAGGAAACUGGGGCUAAUACCGGAUAGGAGCUCCUGCUGCACGGUGGGGGUUGGAAAGUUUCGGCGGUUGGGGAUGGACUCGCGGCUUAUCAGCUUGUUGGUGGGGUAGUGGCUUACCAAGGCUUUGACGGGUAGCCGGCCUGAGAGGGUUACCGGCCACAUUGGGACUGAGAUACGGCGCAGAAUCCUACGGGAGGCAGCAGUGGGGAAUAUUGCACAAUGGGCGGAAGCCUGAUGCAGCAACGCCGCGUGCGGGAUGACGGCCUUCGGGUUGUAAACCGCUUUCGCCUGUGACGAAGCGUGAGUGACGGUAAUGGGUAAAGAAGCACCGGCUAACUACGUG
rnacentral:rRNA from 1 species